rnacentral:rRNA from 1 species
UACGAAGGGGGCUAGCGUUGCUCGGAAUUACUGGGCGUAAAGGGAGCGUAGGCGGACAUUUAAGUCAGGGGUGAAAGCCCAGAGCUCAACUCUGGAACUGCCAUUGAAACUGUCGAGCUGGAAUCUCAGAGGGGGUAGCGGAAUUCCAAAUGUAGGGGUGAAAUCCGUAGAUAUUUGGAGGAACACCGGUGGCGAAGGCGGCUACCUGGAUGAGUAUUGACACUGAGGCUCGAAAGCGUGGGGAUCAAACAGG